UAAAGUAAGUGAGGUGGGGGCAGCAUUUCUGUAAAGUAAUAAGAGAUUUAGGAGAACGUGUAGAGUAUUAUACCUGCAAGAGAGGGCACAAGCUGGUGGAUGAAGACAGUUGGAGUGAAUUUCAUGAGCCGAAGGAUAGGAAGAAACAGCUCACAUCUGGCUAACGUGAAUAAAGGUAUUCCUACGUGAUUGAG